AUUGAACGCUGGCGGCAUGCCUUACACAUGCAAGUCGAACGGCAGCACGGGAGCAAUCCUGGUGGCGAGUGGCGAACGGGUGAGUAAUAUAUCGGAACGUGCCCAGUCGUGGGGAUAACGUAGCGAAAGCUACGCUAAUACCGCAUACGAUCUAUGGAUGAAAGCGGGGGAUCGCAAGACCUCGCGCGAUUGGAGCGGCCGAUAUCAGAUUAGGUAGUUGGUGAGGUAAAGGCUCACCAAGCCGACGAUCUGUAGCUGGUCUGAGAGGACGACCAGCCACACUGGGACUGAGACACGGCCCAGACUCCUACGGGAGGCAGCAGUGGGGAAUUUUGGACAAUGGGCGCAAGCCUGAUCCAGCAAUGCCGCGUGCAGGAUGAAGGCCUUCGGGUUGUAAACUGCUUUGUUACGGACGAACGGUGAGCUCUAAUACAGUUUGCUAAUGACGGUACCGUAAGAAUAAGCACCGGCUAACUACGUACG
rnacentral:rRNA from 1 species